rnacentral:rRNA from 1 species
UACGGGGGGGGCAAGCGUUGUUCGGAAUUACUGGGCGUAAAGGGCUCGUAGGCGGCCAACUAAGUCAGACGUGAAAUCCCUCGGCUUAACCGGGGAACUGCGUCUGAUACUGGAUGGCUAGAGGUUGGGAGAGGGAUGCGGAAUUCCAGGUGUAGCGGUGAAAUGCGUAGAUAUCAGGAGGAACACCAAUAGCGAAGGCAGCUCGCUGGGACGGUACUGACGCUAAGGCGCGAAAGCGUGGGGAGCGAACAGG